rfam:Amanita muscaria Koide BX008 unplaced genomic scaffold scaffold_3, whole genome shotgun sequence.
GCCCUUGUUGUCUAAUGGUUAUGACGUCAGACUUCUAAUCUGGAGGUUGCGGGUUCGAGUCCCGCCAGGGGUU